rnacentral:rRNA from 1 species
GCAUGAUUCAGUGUGAAAAGCCCUGGCAGUAUAGGAUGGUCCCGCGUCUGAUUAGCUGGUUGGUGAGGUAACGGCUCACCAAGGCGACGAUCAGUAGCCGGCUUGAGAGAGUGAACGGCCACAUUGGGACUGAGACACGGCCCAAACUCCUACGGGAGGCAGCAGUGGGGAAUAUUGCACAAUGGGGGAAACCCUGAUGCAGCGACGCCGCGUGAGUGAAGAAGUAUUUCGGUAUGUAAAGCUCUAUCAGCAGGGAAGAAAACAGACGGUACCUGACUAAGAAGCCCCGGCUAACUACGUGCCAGCAGCCGCGGUAAUACGUAGGGGGCAAGCGUUAUCCGGAAUUACUGGGUGUAAAGGGUGCGUAGGUGGCAUGGUAAGUCAGAAGUGAAAGCCCGGGGCUUAACCCCGGGACUGCUUUUGAAACUGUCAUGCUGGAGUGCAGGAGAGGUAAGCGGAAUUCCUAGUGUAGCGGUGAAAUGCGUAGAUAUUAGGAGGAACACCAGUGGCGAAGGCGGCUUACUGGACUGUCACUGACACUGAUGCACGAAAGCGUGGGGAGCAAACAGGAUUAGAUACCCUGGUAGUCCACGCCGUAAACGAUGAGUACUAGGUGUCGG